CCCCAGUUGAUCGUGGCCUCCUGGACUCCUACCCCGGCCCGCCAUCAGAGCCCUCCCCUAGAAGCCUGGCCAGGUGCGGGCCGCGCUCUGGCCCAACGCAGUGUUCCGGAGGAUUCGGAAAGCCAGCACGGGAGCGAACUGCGCAUGCCCCGGCCGCAAAACUGGUCUUCCGGGAUCUGGAAGCGCACGGGGCCUCUGCGCUGGCUUCUAGCGCUGAACCCUGGGGCCCCAAACCAGUGUCUGUCACAGUGCAAGGCCGAUCCAUUCUGAGUUCAGAAAAUAAGGUGUGGCAGGCCGGCAGAAGACCUGAAGAGGGGCCGCCUGAUACCUCCUGGUGCUGUUGGCUUUGGCAUCUUUCCACCGCCCGUCCGCAGUCAUCCUCCUCUCUCUCUUCCUGCAAACGUUACAAAAGGAAGGAAGAAGACAGUGCAGGAGGGAAGAAGGAAGAAUGAAAGUUUCAAGUAAGCAUUUAAUAGUAAAAUUGCCCAAAGCUAAAAAAGCAAGGAAAAUAUGUUAAAAGAAGCCAGAGAAAGAUAGAUUACUUUUCAAUGAGCAAAAAUAUUCUUUUCUUUUUUCUUUUUUUUUAAUUUGUGUCAUAAUAGUUUAUCACAUGGUGAAAUUUCAGUUGUACAUUAUUAUUUGUCAGUCACAAUAUGUGUGUGCCCCUUUACCCUUAGGCCCACUCUCAACCCCCUUCCCCUCUGAUAACCACUAAUCUAUUCUCUUUGUCCGUGUAUUUCUUUAUCUUCCACAUAUGAAUGAAAUCAUAUGUUUGUCUGUCUCUGUCUGGCUUAUCUCACUUAACAUAAUACCCUCGAGGUCCAUCCAUGUUGUUGCAAAUGGGACAAUUUUGUCUUUUUUAUUGCUGAGUAGCAUUCCAUUCUAUAUAUAUGCCGUAUUGUCUUUAUCCAAUCAUCAGUUGAGGGCACUUGGGUCACUUCCAUGUCUUGGCUAUCAUGAAUGAUGCUGCAGUGAACAUAGGGGUGCAUAAGUCACUUUGAAUUGUUGACUUCAAGUUCUUUGGAUAAAUACCCAAUAGUGGAAUAGCUGGGUCAUAUGGUAUUUUGAUUUUUAAUUUUUUGAGAACUCUCCAUACUAUUUUCCAUAGUGGCUGCACCAGUU
rnacentral:lncRNA from 1 species